GACAGAGGGGGCAAGCGUUGCUCGGAAUCACUGGGCGUAAAGGGCGCGUAGGCGGGAUGGCAAGUCAGUCGUGAAAUCUCUCGGCUCAACCGAGAAAACGUCGGCUGAUACUGCCGUUCUUGAGGGAUGCAGAGGAGACUGGAAUUCCCGGUGUAGCGGUGAAAUGUGUAGAGAUCGGGAGGAACACCGGUGGCGAAGGCGGGUCUCUGGGCAUCUCCUGACGCUGAGAAGCGAAAGCAUGGGGGAGCGAACAGG
rnacentral:rRNA from 1 species